AUUAAGUGGAAAUACCAAAAUUUUACCCGCUCCCCAAAAUUUAAAUGUGAAUAUCAAUUAAGUUAUCAGAUCUAGGGUUUUGAUUCUGAAUUCUGCUCCCCAAAAUCACUAGAACCAUAAACAUAAACUUUGCUCCACCAAUAUUUAUCGAAUAAUCCUCCAGGGAAAACCAUCACCGAUGGAAUCAUCCUCCGCUCCACCUCACUGUCAACAAUCUCCCCUGAAUCACAUGGCAACGAUUGGACUUCAACAACAAGAACAAAACAAAGAUCGAUCGUUGAGUCCACAAUCUGAGAUCGAUCUAUUCCUUCAGGGUUUUAAUUUCACUAAUAUUUGUUGUGUUUGAUUCUUCGAUCACGGCAGCUCCGUUCUUUUCAACGCCGUUUCAGCCCUUUGUUUAUCAGCACAGCAGGUGCUAUUUCUAAGACUAUCUGUAGUCACACGCCCUCGCUUUUUAAGCGCCUUGCGUCUAGGCCCAAGGCUCACCUUUUGCGCCUGUGACAACUAUGGGCCACAUCAGUACCAUGUACUAUCAAAGUGACGAUCUGUCCUGAGUUAACUGCUUACUUGACUGUUGGCUUCUGAUGAUUGGUGCUGGUAUGCGGUCUGCAAGGGUGCGCUUUUCUAUGUAUACAAGUUUGAAAUAAUCUUAUUUUUAUAGUCACACAAGUAAGGUUUAGAAAGGAGAGAACCAAAGCAUUUCCCAGUUCAUUUGGAUUGCUUGUUCUCUUUUCUUUUUCUUAUUCUUAUUUAAUUUGAAUCAUGAAAAGAGGUUUCAUGUCAUGCUAGUUACUGUAACUGUGUAUUCUUGAGACAGUUUAAUCUUGUCAUACAUAUAUUAUUAACUUUGCUAUUUUAUA